rnacentral:lncRNA from 1 species
CGAAGGGACAGAGGUGUCGGCUGCCAAGCGGGUGAUGAUGGGCACGGUCAGCCGCAGCAGGGAUGCUCUGCCCUGGGCUCUAGCUUCCAGGACUCUGAGAAACACACCUGCUGACACCGCCCCGGCCAACUGACAUAACUCCAAAAGAAGAAACCCAAAGAUGGGCUCAUUUAUUCCAGCACGAGGACUGAGCCCCUUCCGGGUGCCGAGGAGUGUCCAGGCGCUGGAUUCCGAGCUGGAGAAGACGCUGCACCUGCUCUCGGGGGCCUGGUGGUCUUGCCUGGGGUGGGACGGUGUCACGGGGGCCAGGGGAGUGGGCCAGAGCGCGGCUCCUGGACAGGCCCCCAGACUCCCGUAUGUGUGUGUGUGUGUGUGUGUGUGUGUGCAGAGGCAGACCUGGAGCAGGGGUGGGGGGACGUGACCCCGGCUCACCACUCAACCGGACUGCAGCCCGCUCAAGCACAGAGCCAAGUGUGGGGGGACCCGAAGCUCCACCCCGUUGGGUGGGGAGGCGUGCAGACCCCAGGUCUGUGACACACCCACCCAGGUGUGCAACGGGACUCGGCAUUUCAGCUCACAGCUGGCAGCGGGGAGGAGAGGCAGGGAGGUGGUGUUGGGGAAGGCAGGGGCCACCUGCAGGGGCCACGGCCCCAGGACCAGGGUGACAUCUCCCUUCGAAUGUCACAUGUCCUCAGGAGCUCAGCUCCUUGACUGCUUACGGCUUUGGCUUUGUCCCUCUGUGUCCCUGCUUUUUAUGGGGCAUUUAAAGCCUCAUCAAUGGACUCUUAACUUCCUCCAGACCAAGCGGAAUAGUCCAGAGGUCCAGGCUAAAGCGCUGGAUCCGCCUGGCUCCCCGGGUGACCUGGAGUGUCACCCCCUCGCCCGCCUGUGCUCAUCUGCCCUCACCCGCCUGCCACCCAGGUCAUCCAGGAACUCACAGCCUCUCGGGCGGCCUCGGUCUUUUUCUGCCUGCAAAGCCCUUGGCAAACGGAUCUCAGGAUGAAACCUUCCCACCGGCAUCAUUUUGAUUGGUCUUAAUAUGAGUUCUGAGGACCACCCAGCGGCUGGGGUGGGGGUCUUUCCGGUGAGUACCCGGGAUGGCAAGACGGGAGGCGGGCCUGAGAAGCUCUAGGACUGG